rnacentral:rRNA from 1 species
UGGGGAAUAUUGGACAAUGGGCGCAAGCCUGAUCCAGCCAUGCCGCGUGAGUGACGAAGGUCUUCGGAUUGUAAAGCUCUUUUGGCGGGGACGAUAAUGACGGUACCCGCAGAAUAAGCCCCGGCUAACUUCGUGCCAGCAGCCGCGGUAAUACGAAGGGGGCUAGCGUUGUUCGGAAUUACUGGGCGUAAAGCGCACGUAGGCGGACUGAUAAGUCAGGGGUGAAAUCCCGGGGCUCAACCUCGGAACUGCCUUUGAUACUGUUAGUCUCGAGUCCGGAAGAGGUGAGUGGAAUUCCUAGUGUAGAGGUGAAAUUCGUAGAUAUUAGGAAGAACACCAGUGGCGAAGGCGGCUCACUGGUCCGGUACUGACGCUGAGGUGCGAAAGCGUGGGGAGCAAACAGGAUUAGAUACCCAGGUAGUCCCUGAGCGGGCUGGCAAGGCGCAU